rnacentral:rRNA from 1 species
GUGUCAGCCGCCGCGGUAAUACGUAGGGUGCGAGCGUUAAUCGGAAUUACUGGGCGUAAAGCGUGCGCAGGUGGUUUUGUAAGUCAGAUGUGAAAUCCCCGGGCUCAACCUGGGAACUGCAUUUGAGACUGCAAGGCUAGAGUGUAGCAGAGGGGGGUAGAAUUCCACGUGUAGCAGUGAAAUGCGUAGAGAUGUGGAGGAAUACCGAUGGCGAAGGCAGCCCCCUGGGCUACUACUGACACUCAUGCACGAAAGCGUGGGGAGCAAACAGGAUUAGAUACCCUGGUAGUCCAUGCCCUAAACGAUGUCAACUAGGUGUUGGAAGGGUUAAACCUUUUAGUGCCGCAGCUAACGCGUGAAGUUGACCGCCUGGGGAGUACGGCCGCAAGGCUAAAACUCAAAGGAAUUGACGG